rnacentral:rRNA from 1 species
UGCAGUCGUAACAAGGUAACCAGAGCUUGCUCUCGGGUGACGAGCGGCGGACGGGUGAGUAAUGUCUGGGAAACUGCCUGAUGGAGGGGGAUAACUACUGGAAACGGUAGCUAAUACCGCAUAACGUCGCAAGACCAAAGUGGGGGACCUUCGGGCCUCAUGCCAUCAGAUGUGCCCAGAUGGGAUUAGCUAGUAGGUGGGGUAACGGCUCACCUAGGCGACGAUCCCUAGCUGGUCUGAGAGGAUGACCAGCCACACUGGAACUGAGACACGGUCCAGACUCCUACGGGAGGCAGCAGUGGGGAAUAUUGCACAAUGGGCGCAAGCCUGAUGCAGCCAUGCCGCGUGUGUGAAGAAGGCCUUCGGGUUGUAAAGCACUUUCAGCGGGGAGGAAGGCGAUAAGGUUAAUAACCUUGUCGAUUGACGUUACCCGCAGAAGAAGCACCGGCUAACUCCGUGCCAGCAGCCGCGGUAAUACGGAGGGUGCAAGCGUUAAUCGGAAUUACUGGGCGUAAAGCGCACGCAGGCGGUCUGUCAAGUCGGAUGUGAAAUCCCCGGGCUCAACCUGGGAACUGCAUUCGAAACUGGCAGGCUAGAGUCUUGUAGAGGGGGGUAGAAUUCCAGGUGUAGCGGUGAAAUGCGUAGAGAUCUGGAGGAAUACCGGUGGCGAAGGCGGCCCCCUGGACAAAGACUGACGCUCAGGUGCGAAAGCGUGGGGGAGCAACAGGAUUAGAUACCCUGGUAGUCCACGCCGUAAACGAUGU